rnacentral:lncRNA from 1 species
UCAAGCAAGGGUGUGUUUUGAAUCAAAUUUAAGUAUAAAAAUAACUUUUUUUGAACAGUUAUCAAUCACUCAGAAAAAGUUUUCAAAACAGUGUUUGCACUGAUAACAUGAGUUGUCUCAAAGGGACCAUUUACAGUUGCAUCCCAAAUACCUCUAUCCACGGAUUCAAGAAAAAAUUGCAUUCAAAUUUUCCAAAAAG